AGCGAACGCUGGCGGCAGGCCUAACACAUGCAAGUCGAGCGCCCCGCAAGGGGAGCGGCAGACGGGAGAGUAACACGUGGGAACGUACCCUUUGGUUCGGAACAACCCAGGGAAACUUGGGCUAAUACCGGAUAAGCCCUUACGGGGAAAGAUUCAUCGCCGAAGGAUCGGCCCGCGUCUGAUUAGGUAGUUGGUGGGGUAACGGCCCACCAAGGCGACGAUCAGUAGCUGGUCUGAGAGGAUGAUCAGCCUCACUGGGACUGAGACACGGCCCAGACUCCUACGGGAGGCAGCAGUGGGGAAUAUUGGACAAUGGGCGCAAGCCUGAUCCAGCCAUGCCGCGUGGGUGAUGAAGGCCCUAGGGUUGUAAAGCCCUUUCGGCGGGGAAGAUAAUGACGGUACCCGCAGAAGAAGCCCCGGCUAACUUCGUGCCAGCCGCCGCGGUAAUAC
rnacentral:rRNA from 1 species